GUGGCCCCAGUCAGGCAAGG
rnacentral:rRNA from 1 species